GACAGCAACAACUCACUGUUCAGCUUGGACCUUCCACAGCCCCUGACACUUUGCGAGGUCCUUCCAUUGCUAAAGUCCUUUCGCCUGGACCUUCUGAUUCCCAAGAAACAUUGCCUACGCUGCCAACAGCCAACCAGAGAUGAGUAAAAAUACUGUGCACAUGACAUCAGUGGAGAUGAAGAAUUUAUUCAAAGUGAUGACCCAAUUGUGGACCCAAAAUUCACUUAUUUCAUGACACAUGUACAUUGCUACUUACUGAUUUUGUGUUCAUCUUUCUAUUCAGUGUCACGAACUUCAAAUUUUGUGAAAAUAACCUGUUAAUGUUUUCAUUAAAAAACUUUCCCAUCA